GGUUUGUAUCUAAAAAACGUAUCCAGAAAAUGUAAAAACAAAGUCCUAAUGGUUUCUACGUGUGCAGGGACGAAAGGCAAAAUCUGUAGAAAAAUAGUUGUGUAGUGGUCUACGAACCCCAUCGACGGUCCGUUGGUCCAUUGACGUACCGUGAAUGGCGUCCGUAGACCCCUAGUAAGUUUUAUAAAUUUUCCAAGUGUCAGAGUGACCUAUUGUCCGUAGGUCGACCCACGGACCAUCGAUGGGGUCUUGUGGAUAAAAAAUUAGGGUUUGCCUGACCCGACCCGGACCCCUUUUUAAAUAAAACCCCUUUAUUUUUAAAACACCCCCAACGUCCAAAUC
rnacentral:lncRNA from 1 species